rnacentral:tRNA from 1 species
GUUUAUAUAUGGUAGCCGAGUGGGUAAAGCGCUUAUAGCUAUUUACCGUAUAUCGAUGGUUCGAAUCCAUCCCGGAGCA